ensembl:lncRNA
UUGAUAUAUUCUACAUUGUCGAUUUUUUUUCUGAUUUGGUUGUAAUUACCUUAAAAUAUAAAAUAAAACCUUCUGUUCUCUCUCUCAUGCGCUGUUUCUUUCUCUUUCUCUUGCUUUUGCGUGCCCUCCCCCUCCCCACCCUAGUAUCCAGCCCCUUUACAAGGGGUCUUCGGUUGUCAUGGCAACCUCAAGCUUUGAGUGGCUCGUAAGAGCUUCCUCUGACGUUGUCUUUUCUGUCACUCCUUUUCUCCUCCGAUUCGGUUCUACCUCUGUUCCAUCCGUCUCUUCUCUCUUCACACUGAUGGAUCUACUGAAUGGACAGCAGGACAGCGGUGGACAGGAGGACGCUGUGGACGAGCAGAUCUGAGCAAAGGCCUCCCUGUGAGCGUCUGUGUAUGGGCAGGAAUUAACCAAUGAGAGGAAGACGUCUCCGCCCCAUAUCAGCAAAAGAAGCACACCAAUCAGAAGAGGAAACAGAAGUGCGAGAAGAAGAAGAUGGCAUCAAUUCGUCCUUGUGUCCCUUGUGUGGGCGUGGCUUUGACAUGCCACUCCUUCUGCCCUGCUCUCACACACUAUGUGGGCGGUGCCUAACAGAAGGGGCGCGGUUAGACAAAACACGUAGGCCUGUGGCAAGAGGCAUGUCCUAUGCCUCCUACAGACCGAUCUGUGUUGUUCUGUGUCCACGUUGUUGUCAUGGCGUUGAGUUGCCAUGCUUCGAUUGGUCGUCUGCGACUCAGUGCCUGCCUAUUGACCCUACAGUGACUGUUGACCCUGAGUGUGGUGCACUGACGUGUCAGGGUACGAGAGGACGAGAGGGAAGUGAAAGCGAUGGUAGAGUUACGAUGAAGGUGCCGGGAAUAUCAGAUGGCAGUGUGGAUCUUUCUGAGGAGGAGAUGGAAAGCUCUGUAUCAGGUCUAAUCUUUGCCCUGGACUCCUCCUCCGCUGCUCCGCCCCUUCACCUCUCAAACUCCGCCCUCACCGCCACCUUCACAGGUAACUCCAGUCCAUGGGGUGACUCUGGUGAUCAGUGCAGGUGUCAGGACCCCUGUGCCCCUCUUCCUCAGGUGUGUGGAAACGUGGCCGUUCACAGAGGCCAGUACUACUGGGAGGUUGAUGUGUGUAACAGCGCCCUCUACAGGAUCGGUAAGAACACAUAUUUAACAGAGCUAGUGUGAAUAUUAAUUGGUUAAUAUGGGUGGAUGAUGAAGAUUUUGGAGAUGACCCGAGAUAAAGUAACAGAAGAGCAACAGAAGAGUACAGUGAAAGCUGCAGUACAAAACACAACCACAGGGGGGCAGUAAGGGACCUAUGUUACAUGAUAUUUUAAUCUUCCAUGGAUUUGCCACUGUAAUAUUUAAGUUUGGAGAAACCAUAAAUUCAGUGUAUUUUUUUCAUUAUUUUAUGGCUGGAUUUUCUCAGUCAGCUUUAUGAGUUAGAGUCACCUGGAAUUCAGGCUUUCAGUUAACAGCUGUGUUGAACUCAUCAAGAGUUAAUUACUUAUUUCUUGCCUCUCAAUGUGUUUGAGAGCAUCAGUUGUAAGGUUGUGAAGAGUUAGAGUCCAGCAAUCCAGCAAGAUCUACUCAAAUAAGUAAAGAAAAAAAAUACUUUAAGAAUUUGAAGGUACUUUGAAAGUAUCUUCAAGUGCAGUCACCGCAAAGACCAUCAAAAUGUUAUGAUGAAACUGGCACUCAUCAGGACUGUCCCAGGAAAUGAGGAGCAAUCAGACACAACAGUGCUGCUGGAGUUUUUAAACUGGUAUGGAAAAGGUAUGCAAAACUAUAAGAUCAUUAAUUCAAUUUAUCUAACACACUGAAAUGUUGUCCAGAUAUUAUUAUAUUGGUAAAGUGUUUUCAGCAUAGCAUUGACACUAAUGUGUCAAUUUCUUAAAAAUAAAGGUUCUUCAAAGGUUCUUAGUUGAAGUCA